AGCCAUGACUUCAUUAUCCUAGUAUUUGGACUCUUUGGCAAUUUGCCUUUUUUUAACGACCACUUUUAAUGUAUAACAUCCACACUGCUGUGCACAAUAAGGUCAGAAGCACACUCUAAUCAUACCAGGGAACUAGAGGAGCAUGGAAUGCCUUCCCUGGCCUUUAAAGAAUGAUCUAGACUCACAUUUUUAAAACCAACUUCAUCAAGGUGUAAUCCUAUAUGAUAAAAGCCUAACAUGCUAA